AAGUUAUUGUUUUACGUUUGGUUCUCAUUGUUGUAGAUUCUUUCCAUGUCUGGUUUUAUUUUGAAGGUUUCUGUUGGUGUUCUUGUUUACUUCCUGUUUGUCUUUUUUCCCUCCAUUGUGAUUACAUGUCCCCGCCCUAAUGUGCUGCACCUGUGUCUCAUUGUCUCUCCUGUUUUGUGUAUUUAAGGUCAGCCUUUCCCUUACCCCAGUGUGAGAUCGUCUGCUUCUUUUGUGUUCAACCUUCAAGCGUUUUCCUAGUGUCCUGUUUUCUAGUUUGUUGUUUCCCUGGAUUUUGACCACUGCCUGUUUUUCGGAUUACCCUGUUUGCCUGCCGAUUUGGACACUUUUGCUUGGUUUGGCGAUUGAGACGUGUGGAGGAGAUCUGUAUGAGGAUCUCUGUGUGUACGCCCAGCCUGAAGGAGCUGAGGCCCCAUGGGAGUGAGACAGCCUCACAAUAACUUGCAACUUCUUGAUUAUAAAAGUACAAAUAUUAACAAAAAUAAGAGUUCUUAGUUGAGAUUAGUAAUUUCCUUUAGUACAAUGUUUGUUUCUAAAUGUGCAACGACUUAUUCUAAAACGCUUUCUACAUGUGCUGUUGAUUUUAUGCUAUUUAGUAACACUGGAGUGAAUAAUCAGUUGUGAUUUGAAGUCCACUGAAAUGUAAAUGAACAAUUCUACAAUUCAGACUCGACAGCUGACACUUCAGCAUUUUUGGUGCUUGUUUAAUACAAAGUGUUGUGUAUUAUUUUAUAUGGACUUCUCUGACGUGAGAGUGUGAUAUAUCUAAAUGUUUGUGCAUCAGAGCCUGAACAAGGCCCUUCUUAUUCCUGUUUGAUUAUAUUACAAAUCUGUAUUCCUUUUGUUAAUGUAACGAGAAGAAAAGCAAUAAACAAGUUUCCAUUUGCU